rnacentral:rRNA from 1 species
AACUAACGCUGGCGGCAUGCCUAACACAUGCAAGUCGAACGAGACCUUCGGGUCUAGUGGCGCACGGGUGCGUAACGCGUGGGAACCUGCCCUUAGGUUCGGAAUAACUCCCCGAAAGGGGUGCUAAUACCGGAUAAUGUCUUCGGACCAAAGAUUUAUCGCCUUUGGAUGGGCCCGCGUUGGAUUAGCUAGUUGGUAGGGUAAAAGCCUACCAAGGCGACGAUCCAUAGCUGGUCUGAGAGGAUGAUCAGCCACACUGGGACUGAGACACGGCCCAGACUCCUACGGGAGGCAGCAGUGGGGAAUAUUGGACAAUGGGCGAAAGCCUGAUCCAGCAAUGCCGCGUGAGUGAUGAAGGCCUUAGGGUUGUAAAGCUCUUUUACCCGGGAUGAUAAUGACAGUACCGGGAGAAUAAGCGCCGGCUAACUCCGUG